rnacentral:rRNA from 1 species
AACGAACGCUGGCGGCAUGCCUAACACAUGCCAGUCGAACGAGACCUUCGGGUCUAGUGGCGCACGGGUGCGUAACGCGUGGGAACCUGCCCUUAGGUUCGGAAUAACUCCCCGAAAGGGGUGCUAAUACCGGAUAAUGUCUUCGGACCAAAGAUUUAUCGCCUUUGGAUGGGCCCGCGUUGGAUUAGCUAGUUGGUAGGGUAAAAGCCUACCAAGGCGACGAUCCAUAGCUGGUCUGAGAGGAUGAUCAGCCACACUGGGACUGAGACACGGCCCAGACUCCUACGGGAGGCAGCAGUGGGGAAUAUUGGACAAUGGGCGAAAGCCUGAUCCAGCAAUGCCGCGUGAGUGAUGAAGGCCUUAGGGUUGUAAAGCUCUUUUACCCGGGAUGAUAACGACAGUACCGGGAGAAUAAGCUCCGGCUAACUCCGUG